rnacentral:misc_RNA from 1 species
GAUGAAGAACGCAGCGAAAUGCGAUAAGUAGUGUGAAUUGCAGAAUUCAGUGAAUCAUCGAAUCUUUGAACGCACAUUGCGCCCCUUAGUAUUCCAUGGGGCAUGCCUGUUCGAGCGUCAUUUGUACCUUCAAGCUCUGCUUGGUGUUGGGUGUUUGUCUCGCCCCUGCGUGUAGACUCGCCUCAAAACAAUUGGCAGCCGGCGUAUUGAUUUCGGAGCGCAGUACAUCUCGCGCUUUGCACUCAUAACGACGACGUCCAAAAGUACAUUUUUACACUCUUGACCUCGGAUCAGGUAGGGAUACCCGCUGAACUUAAGCAUAUCAAUAAGCGGAGGA